UCAUCAUUUGACGUAACUAUU
rnacentral:piRNA from 1 species